GGAGCUAAUCCCUUAAAGCUACUCUCAGUUCGGAUUGUAGGCUGAAACUCGCCUACAUGAAGCUGGAGUUACUAGUAAUCGCAGAUCAGAAUGCUGCGGUGAAUGCGUUCCCGGGUCUUGUACACACCGCCCGUCAAACCACGGGAGUUGGAGACGCCCGAAGCCGAUUAUCUAACCUUUUGGAAGAAGUCGUCGAAGGUGGAAUCAAUAAC
rnacentral:rRNA from 1 species